AUUAACAAAACAGUUUAUUACAAACAACUAUCACGGUUUAUAAGUACCACAAACACAUUUUAAUAUAUUAAUAAUCAUUGUUUCUCGGUUCUAAUAACAUUUUGCCGGUUUGACAAACAAGUUUGUUGUUUGAAACUAAACUCGUUUAAACGUGUAAGGAAAAUUAACAGUGUAUGUUUUUACUCCAACCUCAAUCAAGAUGGCCGAACUGAUAAAGGUGGAAUUCUAAGGAAUAUAGUAACUGUUCGUUCCAUAUAACUAAGCUGGUGGAUUUUUUUCGAGGUAUAAUCAGAUAACUUUCUCCAUGUCUCCAGCAGCUGAUGUUUCUAUUUGGUGUCCAGCGAAAAUGCCUGUCAAAUGAGUGUGGCCGGAACUCCCUGUGAUGC